AACGUAGGAGGCGAGCGUUAUCCGGAUUUACUGGGCGUAAAGCGCGUGCAGGCGGUUUCCUAAGUCGGACGUGAAAGCUCUCGGCUCAACUGGGAGAGGUCGUUCGAAACUAGGAGACUUGAGGGUGGUAGAGGAGAGUGGAAUUCCCGGUGUAGUGGUGAAAUGCGUAGAUAUCGGGAGGAACACCAGUGGCGAAGGCGGCUCUCUGGGCCAUUCCUAACGCUAAGACGCGAAAGCUAGGGGAGAGAACGGGAUUAGAAACCCCGGUAUUCCUAGCCGUAAACGAUGUCAACUAGGUGUAGGGGGUAUCCAACCCCCCUGUGCUGUAGCUAACGCGUUAAGUUGACCGCCUGGGGACUACGGCCGCAAGGCUAAAACUCAAAGGAAUUGACGGGGACCCGCACAAGCAGCGGAGCGUGUGGUUUAAUUCGAGGCUACGCGAAGAACCUUACCAGGGAUUGACAUGGCGGUGGUAGGAAGGUGAAAGCUAACCGACCCUCCGGGGAGCCGCCACAGGUGCUGCAUGGCUGUCGUCAGCUCGUGCCGUGAGGUGUUAGGUUAAGUCCUGUAACGAGCGCAACCCUCGUCGCUAGUUAUACGUGUCUAGCGAGACUGCCGGUGAUAAGCCGGAGGAAGGUGGGGAUGACGUCAAGUCAGCGUGGCCUUUAUAUCCUGGGCUACACACACGCUACAAUGGCCGGUACAAUGGGUAGCUAAGCCGCGAGGCGGAGCCAAUCCCCCAAAGCCGGUCUCAGUUCGGAUUGCAGGCUGCAACUCGCCUGCAUGAAGUCGGAGUUGCUAGUAACCGCGCGUCAGCAACAGUGCGGUGAAUACGUUCCCGGGUCU
rnacentral:rRNA from 1 species